GGAGGAGGCGGGAGCUCAGGACCGGCGCCUUCUCCUUGCUUCUGGGGUCGUGGCCUUGCUCCCGCUGUGCGGGAAAAGAAUCCAGGCCCUUCUACGCGCGUGUGGGCGCGGGGGCCCCGAAGUGCUCGUGGUGCCGCGCUAGGUCUCCGCUGGGGCAGGAACCGGAGCCAUGGGUGGGACCACCAGCACCCGCCGGGUCACCUUCGAGGCGGACGAGAAUGAGAACAUCACCGUGGUGAAGGGCAUCCGGCUUUCGGAAAACGUGAUUGAUCGAAUGAAGGAAUCCUCUCCAUCUGGUUCGAAGUCUCAGCGGUAUUCUGGUGCUUAUGGUGCCUCAGUUUCUGAUGAAGAAUUGAAAAGAAGAGUAGCUGAGGAGCUGGCAUUGGAGCAAGCCAAGAAAGAAUCUGAAGAUCAGAAACGAGAAGAAACUUCAGAAACAGCAUUAAGAAAGUUUUGUGUGCAGUCUUUUAGCAGCAACUUUUUGGAGUCACAGAGCAUGUAUACGUUGCUACUAAAGCAAGCCAAAGAGCUGGACCGAGAGAGGGCUGCUGCCAAUGAGCAGUUAACCAGAGCCAUCCUUCGGGAGAGGAUAUCUAGCGAGGAGGAACGCGCUAAGGCAAAGCACCUGGCUAGGCAGCUGGAAGAGAAAGACCGAGUGCUAAAGAAGCAGGAUGCAUUCUACAAAGAACAGCUGGCUAGACUGGAGGAGAGGAGCUCAGAGUUCUACAGAGUCACCACUGAACAGUAUCAGAAAGCUGCUGAAGAGGUGGAAGCAAAGUUCAAGUUUGGUGAAAUGAAGUAUCACAAAACAGGACUCUUUAUUUUGUUACCUCUUGUCCCAAUAUGGCUCCUAGUAGGAGAACUCGUUACUUCUCCCUCAUUUCAGGCAACCUGAGCACCAGUGAAACUGUGACUGGCAUUUGCAGGGACCUAAAAGGCCUACUCAGUGCCAGACAUUGUGUGGAGAGCUUAAACGUUACCUUACUAAUCUUCACAACAAUGUUAAACAGUAGGAACUGAGGAAAAAGUUGCAUCUUAGAGAGAUCAAGAAACUUGCCCAAGCUUCCAUUGCAAGCGAUAUGAGUCUCAUCCAGUCUGUGCUGAUCUGCAGGCCAAAAUUCUUCAGUGUUACCGUGAGAACACCCACCAGACCCUCAAAUGCUCCGCUCUGGCCACCCAGUAUAUGCACUGUGUCAAUCAUGCCAAACAGAGCAUGCUUGAGAAGGGAGGAUAAAAACUUUCAGAAUGAGCAAAACACCAUCAACGUUAAUUCCAGAGAUGGAACAUUUUUUUUCCUAGUGAGAAAACAACCCAUUUGAAGAGAAGACCACUAAUGAGAAGACCACUAAAGAGAGACACCAAGAAUGGAUUCAGCAGAAUCAUUUCACAUUUUGAACAGCAGCAAUUUGAAGGGCCAAAGCCUUGAUCAGGGAUCAGUCGUUAAAAGACACUCUUCACUAUUAGUAAACCCUCUUAUGAUGAUUAAAAGAGAAGGGCAGCCCUCUCCACCUUUUGGUACUUUCUAUGCAACUUCCACUGACCAUAAAAUGUUUCUCUUCUGAACAAGCCCCAUCAUUUGGUGAACCUCCACCCUAACAAAGUAGGAUGGGGUUGGGGGCUAAAUUAAUUGGAGUGGGGCGAGGAGAGAGCCAGAAAACAUAGAUCUGAGGGCAGCAGUGCUGGGUGGAGAGAGCCAGAAAACAGAUCUGGAGGCACCAGUGCUGGAUGGAAUUGUCUAGGCUGUGUCAUGUUGGUUUUGUCUCUCUUUCUUUUCUCCUUUGAUUAUAUAAGAGCUAUUUCAUUUUAACUUAUUAUGGUGAUUAUACAGGCAAGAAGACAAAAAGGAGAGAAAAUGUACCUCUUCUACUGGAAUAAUGUUUAUGAUUACAAGUGAGAUAGGGUAUUUUUAUCAAUAUGAAGGCAACCUUGGCUGAUAUAACCUCUAUAGUGAAUACUCACAUCUUUACUUCACUCAUUAUCAAUAAUAAAUAUAUUUUCUGACAAAGACUG